AAAAACCACAAGCUAAACUCCUCUGAGUUCUCCAGGUGGGGAGGGCACAGAUGCCAUCAUGAGGGCCCCACCCUCAUGACCUCGUCUAAACCUGAUCACCUCCUGAUGACCCCGUCUCCAAACACUAUCACGAUGUGGGUCUUCAACUUGAGAAUUUUAAAGGAACAGGAUUCGAUCACUCUUCACUCUGUAAGUAUGACUGCUUCAUGACUCUGCAGACCCUGACAGAUGCAAGGCACACAGGAC